rnacentral:lncRNA from 1 species
GCUGGGCGAUUUUGUGUCGCCGCAAUUAAGCUCCACCGAGGCCAACGUGACAACAGGACACCAUCGGUUUAAUCGGCUCACAUGGGAGCGAGGCAGUGACCUCACCGCAGUGACCUCACCGCAGUGAUGUCAUCAAGGUGAGUCCGAUGUCUCAGAAAUUGUUUUGAAGGACGUCUGUACACCUGUGGCAUGUUGCAAUGCAGCCAAUUCUAUGCAUCCCGAAUCCGCUCACAUAAUCCGUGUGAGAAGACUUUCCUUUCUUCAGAUGUUGUGGUUGUUGGCAUGAAAAAAAAUAAUCCAAUACAGACAGACAGAAAAAGGAUUCCUUUCUAACAAGAUCACCCUUCGUUUUUGUUUUUUUUUUGUCUUUUGAUUGAGUAAUUUUUGAACUUACCUGAUAUUUCUAAGCAUUUCUAGCCCAUCUGAAUAUUUUUGUCUAAAACAAACAGACAAACCUAAAGCUUAUCUCUAAGGCAUACUGUUCACCGAAACACUCAACCUGCUACAAGGGUCAUUAAUGCCGAGACUAAACUGACAGAUAAUUAACCGUCACACUAAGACAGGAAAUGUAUUGUGUUUUUGUCAGACAGUCAGAUGUUUUUUCUGCUAUGUGCAAACAGAGAUGCUAUCAGACAUUACGCACACAUUCAUGUGACGUUACGUCUGUGUGUGUGUGUAUAUAUGAAUUAUUGACUGUAAACGGUGGGUUUCUGUUGCAAAAAAGCCAGAAGGUUCCUACCAGAAACUGUUACUUAUUAGCCAGAGCCUGUGUCGCGCUGUUAGAGGGAUUCUUUGUAGGUGACAUCACAGGUGCUGGACACAGCGAGGGGGAGAGACGCAUUCACAACUUCAGACUGCAGGAGAUCAUUGAUGUUUGCGUCUUCGAUUUCAUGAUUUUGACAACAAUGUGGACAGCUGGGGAGACAUUUCUCAUGAUCAGAGGACAGUGAACAACGGCUGGAUUGAGUGCAGCUUCAAGAAGAGGAAGGAGCAAGACUUGCAACCCUGAAGGGCAACCCUCUAGCAGCUUCAGAAGAGCUGGAAGAAGAAAGGAAAGACAUUUUGGUAUUUAUUGGAAGGUAGAGAAAGGAACCUUCCUGCAGAAGAUAUACCGGGAAAUUCCCUCCAAUCGAGCAAACCGCCACUCAGAUCAAAGUAAGUGCUUUAAUGUUUUUGGCUGUGCAAACCAAUUCAACAGUUACGAGUGAAGCCACCUGCAUAUUAAGAUUAGACAAGAACAGUGGAUGAAGGGAAAAAGGCCAUGAAGAACCAUGUACAAUUAUAAACACAAAAUCAAAAACUGUCAUUUUGGACCCACCACGAUGAAAAUGGUGUUUUUAACAUAUUCUUGUUGCAUUUUUCUGAUGAUGGAGGACAUACAAUAUAUAAAGUAAAUUAAGCUCAAAAUUGUAUUUCUGAGUAUUUCUUUUUUCAAAUUGUUGUGAAUUAGGAACAGAUGAGAAAAGGCUGUUUGAAAAGAGCUUAUUAAAGAAAAUAUGCUGGGUGGAUCAUAAACUCCCUGCUCUGCUUAAGAGAGAGCUCUCAGCAACAGGGAGGGGCGGGGGUUAGUCUUCUCCAACAUUCCCCCUCACAACUCAGUUGUAUAGUUGAUAGUGUAACUCAGUUACACUAUCAUUAAAAAUUUCAACAAUUAAAACCGUUAAAUAU